rnacentral:lncRNA from 1 species
UUUCCGUGGACUGCCUAUGAGAGGAGCACGGUAACCUAAUUAUAUAUUUACCUCCGGAGGGAGACGUUGGAUGAAGUAUCUCCUGAGGUAAGAUUUGAAUGCACCUCACGGUCACUGUAGUGGUGGGGGUUUUCCUGGACUGCCUAUAAGAGGGGCACGGUAACUCAAUUAUAUACUUACCUCCGAGGGGAGAUGUUGGGUGAAGUAUCUCCUGAGGUAUGAUUUGAGUGCACCUCACGUUCGGGCCACCACGUGAGAGUGAGACUCAGCCAACGCCAAGGAACGGUUGUGUGUCAGAUGUGAAAACAUGUUUAUGGGUAUGGGUCAUUGAACAGCCUUGGCGGUCUCAGUGGGAUACCUAGACGAAGGUACUCGCGAGAAUGAUUCUGGCAGGGGCCAAGUUUAAAAAAUUCAUAAGCCGAAAAAUUUUGAUGAAAAUAAAUUGUUUGGUAUAGAUUGAAACAAAUUUUGCGUUAUGAACAUUAUUGAGAUAUAAUGUUUUUAU